AAAGACUAGAAUGAAUGGCUAAACGAGGUUCUAUCUGUCUCUUACAAACAAUCAGUGAAAUUGAUCCCCCCGUGCAAAAGCGAGAAUAUCCCCAUAAGACGAGAAGACCCUGUGGAACUUUAAGUAUAGGUCACAAUCAUAAGCCAACUAUUCAACAGAAAACACCUUAUAACAAACCUGACUUAAAACUUUCGGUUGGGGCGACCUCGGAGAACAAUAAAACCUCCGAAAAUUACUACUAAGGUAACACAAACCUAAGUGUCUACGACAAAACGAUCCAAUAUGCAUGAUCAACGAACCAAGCUACCCCAGGGAUAACAGCGCAAUCCCCUCUUAGAGUCCAUAUCAAUGAUGGGGGU
rnacentral:rRNA from 1 species